rnacentral:lncRNA from 1 species
CUUGUGACGAGACCAAUCUCGCCACAUUGCAUUGGAGAAGCCUGGUUGCUCGCCUGCUGCCUUUGGACUAUGGCCCCCUGUUAAAAGACAUCUUUUUUACCUGCAGAAAAGCUUCAGUCGUGCUUUUCUGCCUGGGUUUCAGUAGAUUUGUUUGAAUGUGUUACACCCCAGAUGGGAAUCCCAUGGAGCCCAUUCGUAUGAAACUGACUGUAAAGACUUUGGCUCCAUGGUGAUUAAACUGUAUUUGUGUGGUCCGAGCGCCAUUCACUUAAUAAUGUGCGCUCAGACCUGAGCUAUCUGGGGAUAUGUGAAAUGUCUGUGUUUUAUGUAUAAAUGUGACUUUAUGUAUUUUAAAGUGCUUUGUGUCUUUUUGCAACCAUGUGCUUAAUGGAGUCUUGUGUCUGUCCUGGGAGAUAAUUGAAUUACUUAUC